UACAGAGGUGGCAAGCGUUGUUCGGAAUUACUGGGCGUAAAGGGCGCGUAGGCGGUCAGCACAAGUCAGUUGUGAAAUCUCCGGGCUUAACUCGGGAAAGGUCAACUGAUACUGUGCGACUAGAGUGCGGAAGGGGCAACUGGAAUUCUCGGUGUAGCGGUGAAAUGCGUAGAUAUCGAGAGGAACACCUGCGGCGAAGGCGGGUUGCUGGGCCGACACGUGACGCUGAUGCGCGAAAGCCAGGGAGCGAACGGG
rnacentral:rRNA from 1 species